rnacentral:rRNA from 1 species
GACGGGGGGGGCAAGUGUUCUUCGGACUGACUGGGCGUAAAGGGCACGUAGGCGGUGAAUCGGGUUGAAAGUGAAAGUCGCCAAAAAGUGGCGGAAUGCUCUCGAAACCAAUUCACUUGAGUGAGACAGAGGAGAGUGGAAUUUCGUGUGUAGGGGUGAAAUCCGUAGAUCUACGAAGGAACGCCAAAAGCGAAGGCAGCUCGCUGGAACGUUACUGACGCUGAGAUGCGAAAGCGUGGGGAGCAAACAGG